CCUGCAGCCCUGCCCGGCCAACAGGACGUGCUGCACUCCCCAGCAAAACAGCCGACAUCUGCAGGAGAGAUGGAGGUGCACCACCAGAUGAGAACACAGGUCACCCUGAAGGAGGAACAAAGUCAUCCAGACUGUGCGGAUGGCACCAGGUGAUCUCAGAGAUGACUGUCACCCACAUCAACAAGCGAAGGGCAACCCCAACAGAGAACCUGGGGCGCGCUGCCUCUGAGUCACCUCUUCAAAAGCCCCCUCCCCGCUCCUGCUGACAGAGUCACAGCCUCUGGGACAGGAGUCCCCUGGGUCUCUCCUUUGCUAGCAAAGCCAUAAACUUUCUUUUUCUUUUUCUCAGAA